rnacentral:rRNA from 1 species
AUCUACAGGCUUAACACAUGCAAGUCGAGGGGCAGCAUUUUAGUUUGCUUGCAAACUGAAGAUGGCGACCGGCGCACGGGUGAGUAACACGUAUCCAACCUACCGAUAACUCCGGAAUAGCCUUUCGAAAGAAAGAUUAAUACCGGAUAGCAUACGAAUAUCGCAUGAUAUUUUUAUUAAAGAAUUUCGGUUAUCGAUGGGGAUGCGUUCCAUUAGUUUGUUGGCGGGGUAACGGCCCACCAAGACUACGAUGGAUAGGGGUUCUGAGAGGAAGGUCCCCCACAUUGGAACUGAGACACGGUCCAAACUCCUACGGGAGGCAGCAGUGAGGAAUAUUGGUCAAUGGGCGAGAGCCUGAACCAGCCAAGUAGCGUGAAGGAUGAAGGCUCUAUGGGUCGUAAACUUCUUUUAUAUGGGAAUAAAGUUUUCCACGUGUGGAAUUUUGUAUGUACCAUAUGAAUAAGGAUCGGCUAACUCCGUGCCAGCAGCCGCGGUAAUACGGAGGAUCCGAGCGUUAUCCGGAUUUAUUGGGUUUAAAGGGAGCGUAGGUGGAUUGUUAAGUCAGUUGUGAAAGUUUGCGGCUCAACCGUAAAAUUGCAGUUGAAACUGGCAGUCUUGAGUACAGUAGAGGUGGGCGGAAUUCGUGGUGUAGCGGUGAAAUGCUUAGAUAUCACGAAGAACUCCGAUUGCGAAGGCAGCUCACUAGACUGUCACUGACACUGAUGCUCGAAAGUGUGGGUAUCAAACAGGAUUAGAUACCCUGGUAGUCCACACAGUAAACGAUGAAUACUCGCUGUUUGCGAUACAGUGUAAGCGGCACAGCGAAAGCGUUAAGUGGUCCACCUGGGGAGUACGCCGGCAACGGUGAAACUCAAAGGAAUUGACGGGGGCCCGCACAAGCGGAGGAACAUGUGGUUUAAUUCGAUGAUACGCGAGGAACCUUACCCGGGCUUAAAUUGCAACAGAAUAUAUUGGAAACAGUAUAGCCGUAAGGCUGUUGUGAAGGUGCUGCAUGGUUGUCGUCAGCUCGUGCCGUGAGGUGUCGGCUUAAGUGCCAUAACGAGCGCAACCCUUAUCUUUAGUUACUAACAGGUUAUGCUGAGGACUCUGGUGGGACUGCCGUCGUAAGAUGUGAGGAAGGUGGGGAUGACGUCAAAUCAGCACGGCCCUUACGUCCGGGGCUACACACGUGUUACAAUGGGGGGUACAGAAGGCGGCUACCUGGUGACAGGAUGCUAAUCCCAAAAACCUCUCUCAGUUCGGAUCGAAGUCCGCAACCCGACUUCGUGAAGCUGGAUUCGCUAGUAAUCGCGCAUCAGCCAUGGCGCGGUGAAUACGUUCCCGGGCCUUGUACACACCGCCCGUCAAGCCAUGAAAGCCGGGGGUACCUGAAGUACGUAACCGCAAGGAGCGUCCUAGGGUAAAACUGGUAAUUGGGGCUAAGU